UAAAAAACUAAGAAUUUUCUCUCAUUCAUAGCCGACCUGUCUUGCUUCUCUCCCCCCCUCCCUCCCUCCCUGAAGGGCCUAAACCCUAACAAUACACUAAGUAAAAGAAAUAUCAAUGGCAUCAAAUCAGCUGCGAUGCCAUUACGAGGUGCUUGGUCUAUCACGCGACUCGUCGCCUGAAGAAAUCCGUUCGGCUUUUAAAAAGCUUGCUCUCCGGCGCCAUCCUGACAAGCUUCUCCAAUCUGGCUUAAGCCAAGCCGAAGCUACUGCUCAAUUUCAAGAGCUUGUUCAGGCUUACGAGGUCCUCUCCGACCCCAAAGAACGAGCUUGGUACGAUUCUCACCGUUCUCAAAUCCUCUUCUCCGAUCCCAAUUCUGGUAACUCGGUCCCUGACUCAGUCAUUCCUAAUUUGUUCUCUUUCUUCUCCAACACUGUUUACUCGGGUUAUACUGAUUCUGGUAGAGGUUUUUAUAAGGUUUAUUCUGAUGUUUUUGAUAAGAUUUAUGCGAAUGAGGUUAAUUUUUGUAGGAAAUUAGGGUUAGGAUUGGAUAGUGUUAGGGAGGCUCCGUUGAUGGGGAGUUUGCAGAGUGAUUAUGCGCAGGUUUCGGCUUUUUAUAAUUAUUGGUUGGGGUUUAGCACUGUUAUGGAUUUUUGUUGGGUUGAUCAGUAUGAUGUGAUGGCGGGGCCGAAUAGGAAAUCGAGGAGGGUUAUGGAGGAGGAAAAUAAGAAGUUGAGGAAGAAGGCGAGACGGGAGUAUAAUGAGACUGUGAGGGGGUUGGGGGAGUUUGUUAAGAAGAGGGAUAAGAGGGUGAUUGAUAUGGUUGUUAAAAAGAAUGCUGAGAUGGAGAGGAAGAAGGAGGAGGAGAAGGAGAGGAAGAAGAAGUUGGAGAGGGAGAAGAUGGAGAGGUUGAGAGCGUACGAGGAACCGGAAUGGGCGAGGGUGAAUGAAGAGGAGGUGGAUGGAAUGGAGGGUUUUGAGGAAGAGGAGGAUAAGGGGAAGAAGGGGAAUGGAGGGAAGGAGUUGUAUUGUGUCGUGUGUGGGAAGAAGUUUAAGAGUGAGAAGCAAUGGAAGAAUCAUGAACAAUCAAAGAAGCAUAAGGAGAAGGUUGCUGAGUUGAGGGACUCGUUUCAGGAUGAAGAUGACGAGAGGGAAGAUAUCGAGGAGGAUGAGCUGGAGAAGAAUGAGGACGUGGAGGAAAUAGAGGAGAGGUUUAAAGAGGAUUUUAAAAUACAGCGGGAAGGGAAUGGGGCUGAGGUUCUGUAUUCAAGUGAUAAAGAAGAUGGGUUUUUUGAUGCUGAUGACAUGGAUGAGAUUGACGAGAAGAAUGGGAAUGUAGAGGAUGAGGAGGGGGAGGAAAUGAGCGUACUUGAAGCAAUGGUGUCGGGGCACAGAAGUAGGAAAAGUAGGGGUUCAAGGCAUACGAAUGAGGAGUUUCCACAGGAAGUUGAGGAUGCAAAAGAGGAGGUUGAGGUUAUGGAAUAUAAUAACCGGAAGACUAGGAGAAGAGGCAAGAAAAUGAGGGGUUGGAACAAUGGUGGUGAAGGUGUUACAAACGACAUUGAUGAAAGCAAGAGUGCCAAUGAAGAAACUAAUGGGUGUGAUGAUGAGCAAAACAAGGAGCCUGCUUCUAAUUCUUUUGUGGAGGAUGAGAAUGAUGGUAAAAUCGAUGAUCAUUUAGGGAAAACUGGCAAGAGCUCAAACCAAUCUACCAAGAAGAAAGGGGCUGCAAAGAAGGAAGCAAAUGUGAAAUCAAAGAACUUGUCUAAAGGCAAGAAAGGAAAGGCAAUUUCUAAGGAUUCUGGUAAUGUAUGUGAUACAUGUGGAGUGGAAUUUGAAUCAAGGAAUAAAUUACAUAAGCAUUUGGGUGAUACUGGUCAUGCUACACUGAAAUCCCACUGAGGAAAGUUUUCUAGCACAUGUAAUUUAUUGCUACAUGCCAUAAUUAAAGAGAUUUUUUGGAAGUAUAAGUGCAAGCAGACUUGUAAGAGGUUUAUGCAGCAGCUUUUCAUUGUUUUCUGUUCAAGAGCAAGAUAUAGACCUCAUCGGUUCCAGGAAAUCCAUGAACCAUCAAGCAUUCUGUACAAGUGGCUCUGUUUGAAUUUGAGGUUGCAUCCGUGGUGCUACCUGCUUCUCGAACCAGGUUACCAGGUGCAACCUGCUUUUCCAAAUGAAAAACAUUAAGGAAAAGCAGGUUGCACUUGGUUCCUAAACGGGUUCUAAUUAGUGGAGAGCACAUUCUUGAGGCGUGGCUUAAAAAUUAUGAUAACUGAAUUUUUGUGUUUCUAACUUUGUAAACUCUUUUAAGGCCUUUCAUUAUCAGCAAAAAAGAGGUCUCUCUUGCAUUGAAUAUUCAUCAGAAAACAGGGAAAGGAUAAAUAUUCAUAUAUGUUGUCGUGAAAAUGUCUGUACACAAACUAUAUUCAGUCAAUGUGUGAAGAAUGUGAAAUCUAUUCUUGAUUU